UACGUAGGGGGCAAGCGUUGUCCGGAUUUAUUGGGCGUAAAGAGCGUGUAGGCGGUUCGGUAGGUCCGUUGUGAAAACUCGAGGCUCAACCUCGAGACGCCGAUGGAAACCCUCGAACUAGAGUCCGGAAGAGGAGAGUGGAAUUCCUGGUGUAGCGGUGAAAUGCGCAGAUAUCAGGAAGAACACCCGUGGCUAAGGCGGCUCUCUAGUACGGUACUGACGCUGAGACGCGAGAGCGUGGGGAGCGAACAGG
rnacentral:rRNA from 1 species